CGGGGAGUAGUUCAAUUGGCUAGAAUGUACGCUUUGGGAGCGUGAGGUUGCAGGUUCGAGUCCUGUCUCCCCGA
rnacentral:tRNA from 1 species